rnacentral:rRNA from 1 species
AUUGAACGCUGGCGGCAGGCCUAACACAUGCAAGUCGAGCGGAUGAAGGGAGCUUGCUCCUGGAUUCAGCGGCGGACGGGUGAGUAAUGCCUAGGAAUCUGCCUGGUAGUGGGGGAUAACGUCCGGAAACGGGCGCUAAUACCGCAUACGUCCUGAGGGAGAAAGUGGGGGAUCUUCGGACCUCACGCUAUCAGAUGAGCCUAGGUCGGAUUAGCUAGUUGGUGGGGUAAAGGCCUACCAAGGCGACGAUCCGUAACUGGUCUGAGAGGAUGAUCAGUCACACUGGAACUGAGACACGGACCAGACUCCUACGGGAGGCAGCAGUGGGGAAUAUUGGACAAUGGGCGAAAGCCUGAUCCAGCCAUGCCGCGUGUGUGAAGAAGGUCUUCGGAUUGUAAAGCACUUUAAGUUGGGAGGAAGGGCAGUAAGUUAAUACCUUGCUGUUUUGACGUUACCAACAGAAUAAGCGCCGGCUAACUUCGUG